CCAUCACCGUCGCGCCAUCCCCGCCGACGCAGUCCCUGCCGCCGCCCGCCGCCCGCCGCCCACCUCGUCAUCGCCGCGCCAUCACUGCUGCAGCCGUCGCCUCGGCAUCCUCCCCCCCCCGGCCGUCGGCAGCGCCAUCACUGUCGCCGUCGCCUCGGCAUCACCCCCGUGCGUCGUUAGCGGGAGGAGCGCGGCGGCGGCAUGGGGAGGGAGGAGGCGGGGGAUUGGGAUGGCGAGCCGGUUCUGGGGGUGGUACGCGGACCGGCAGUUCCACCGGUGGGAGAAGACGGUGCUGUGGGACAUGGUGGAGCCGUACCGCCCGCCGCGCUCCGUCGCGCCCCUCGUCGGCACCUACGUCGUCGCCUCCGCCGUCACCGAGCAGCUCUACAAGGUCAGGAUUCCCUCAGGAGCACCACCUCCUCCACAAACCCCUCCCCUUUCGAUUCGUCCUUGUACGCCGUGCACAUGCCGCGCUUAACGUGCUCGACGGAAUGCUUAGCCGCUCCAUCUCGAAACUUAGGCAUGAACUUUGAAUGCUUCAGUGAUAAAAGUUCUGUGUAGAAUGCUCUUGUAUGGUAUGAUUAACCUGUAAUUGGUAGUAGUAACUAGCUGGAUCACCACUUCAAGUUGAUUUAACAUCAAAUUUGGUAAGGUAGCAUGUCGAAUAAUGCAAUCAAAUGGUUUUCUCUACUUUCACUGAACUGACUAGGAUCGAUUUAUCACACAAGCAAGUUUGCACCAUACUUAAGUACUGGUGAUUUAUAGAAUCAUGUUAUUCUAAACAAAUAUCGGUGAUAUACAAGAUCAGGUUGGAUGAAACAAUGCAAGGAAUAUACUUUGCUGAAUAACUAGGAUUGACAAUUUGACCUCCCUUUAUAGAAUUAUAUUUGACCAUCACUGCCAUGGUCACCUCGCCAUCCCCCUACAAGGUUUUUUUUUUGGCUUGAUCAUCAGCUUUGGAGGGUUGGUUGGCACCUAAUUGUUUUGGGCUCUUCUGUUGGAGUAUUAGGUUGGAUGACGUGACUACAUCGAGGCAGCAGUAUAAUAUUUGCAUGAUGGAUCCAGUUUGUACGAGGAUUUUACUUAUUUACUUAUUUCACAAAAGAAUUAUUUAAUGAGUAUAUGCAGAAUUAUUCCUUCACUCUUCCUAUGUUUUCAAGCUACACUUGGAUCAUCUGUUAAAGUUCCAUCUCCCUUGUGAGUUUUCCACCUCUCCAAUAGAAUAUAGCUUUAGGUGUAGAGCAGGAGGUAGCCAGCAACCUCAAUAGAGGGAAUAUGCUGACCGAAGAAGUCAUCAUGCCAGGAAAAAACCAACAGUAUAUGUUCUUACCGAUACUAAAUCAUUGUGCAUAUGUAGUGUCAUAUUAGUGUAAUUGCAAAUGGCAAACAUAAGGCCUCAUUUGAAAAUGAGAUAAAAGAAUGUGAUUACACAUCUCUUGUUUCAAUGUUAAUUGAAUGUCUUCUAUAUAUAAAAGAAAUAUAAAUUAAUUAACGUCAUUUUUGACAGAUUAAUGGAUUGUUACAUACACAUGGGACACCUAAUUAAGUUGCUCCUUUGAUAUCUGCCUUUAGAGGAAGAAAAUAUUGACUCAUUUUAUAACAAAGUAAAUGUAGCACCCUUAUCUUUUUGCUUAUGCAUCUACCCUAUAGUGCACCAAGAGGUUUUACUCAUUUACUCAUUACUCAUUGGAUAGAUCCAAUGGCCUGAAUCAAUCUAUGAUGGAUUUGACGGCCCAGAUCAGCUAUGUCUCUCUCCCUCUCAUCCCGCGUGUGCACUCCUCUCGGCCUGCCUCCAAAACCCUAGCCGCCGCCACUCCCUCCAUCGCCCUCCUGCCGCCGCCGCCCUACCGCCCCGCCGCUGCCGCCACUCGCUCCUCCGUCGCCCUCCCUCCUCGGUCGAGGACUCUCUCCGCCUGCCUCCCUCCCGUCCUGCACCCUCAACCCCAGCCGCUGCCUCUCCUCUUCGCGCUCUCAACCCUAGCCGCCUCCUGUACGCCCUCACGUCCCGCCGCCCUACUUGUCACGCUUGUGCUCGCCCUCUCGCUCAACAUUGCCGUCAGGUACCUGCUCCGCUGGAACCGCCGUGCAGGCAACGAGGCGUCGCCGUCUGUGCUGCUGCGGAAGACCUGGAGAAACCACCCGUGACCGAGGCUAAGCCGAAAUCGCCUCCUCCGGUGCUGCUGUACUCAGCGGCGGACACCAAGCUGGUCUGUGCGACGGAGUGCGCCAUAUACCUCGCCGAGUUCGUGGACGGGGACCCCGUGCGCGACAUGCCGGUGUGCGGCCACGGCUUCCACGCGCGGUGCACCGAGAGAUGCCUCGCUGGAGGCUGCCGCUCUUCGUGCCCAACUUGCCGCGCGCCGGCUGCCACGCCGGCCGGCGGCGCCGUAGCUAGCGAAUCGGAUGCGGCGGCGUCUUGAUGUACGUCUUGAAUGGACUUGGCUAACUGACUUGGUCGGCCCUUGUUCUUGGCAAGUUCUCAUGUUGAUUAAUUACUCCUCUGUUCGGUUAUGGGUACUUCUGUCUUGCUUGUUUGCUCUUUGAUCACUGAUCAGAGCUUCUGUUCAGUUGUUGGAUAAAUUUCUCUGAACCUAAAUUUGCAGAUUUAUUAACGUUUAGAACACUAGCCUUUCAAUGCAGAAGCUGCGGAUUUGCUUCAAAUUAAACUCUAGAAAUUUGCAGAAGCUGAAGAUUUGUUCACAGGAGAGGGUUUUGGCAUCCUUUUUCGGGAGAGAGGAGACAUGUUAGUUUGUUUUGUGAAGGAAAAAGAACAGGUAGGUCACUAUUUGGACUAAUCAAUAUGUUGUAUACCGGUGGUUUGUGGUCACUCAAUGUGUGGUGUCCCUCUUGAAUGACUAGAAUCAGCAAUUCAGCGUGCAUGUCUCAGCUGCUUGCUUAACUCUGAUGGCAAGGCAAGUAUAAAGUGUAAAAAUUAUUAAUAGGGACAAAAAAAAUGAUGAGUUAUGGUUGCGACAGUUUAACACCGGAACUCAUUAGCAUGUCAAUGAUUUUGCACUCCUGUUUGGUUUUGUGUAGUUAGCCAUAAUAUGGAACUCAGAUAUAUGUGGUUCAAUAUCUCAAUUCAGUAUCUUUAGUGCAGCUUUCCAUAUGGAAUUAAUUUGUAAAUAUUCCCAGUAAUGCCAUGGACAUGAGCCGUGAUGUUAUAAACUUUUGGUUCGUAAAUGCCCUAUAAAUUUUGGUUUGAA